ACUGUGGGACGCGUAUGAAGGGACGGAAAACACGCGAUUGGAUGUCCAUACUUCGUUUUAUCUAUAAAUAUCUUACAUUUGAAUGUCCUCCUGGGUCUUUAGAUCGGGUGGAAGUUUGGCACAACACAACCAAUGAAGCAGGAGAUUUUUAGCAGGACACUGUUGUUCAUGUCGUAAGCAAGGAGAAAACUCUGAAGUUGUUUCAGCAGGACACUUUCAAGAUGAUGGUUGACUCAAAAUCCCGAAGACAUCAAAAAUCAACAAGAAUCCCUUUUUAAUUCUCUGGAGUCAAUGGAGCAGACGAGUCAAAGCUGAUGCAUUUACCCAGCUGUUAAGACUAAUGAAGUGCAGCGGUGAACAGCGUGUCACUCUCAUAUCCGUUUGAUGUCGGCACGUCCUUCCUUUGUACAGAGGGAACAACAUGGGGUGCUCGAUCACUUCCAAACCCUGUUCAAUCUAAAUUAAAAUUCACUAAUCUUGUUAUUAUGCUGACCCCUUUGCGAGACACACUUCCACAAGGCCCCUUCAUCCCCGUCAACCAAACAUUUUCAUCCAACUGAGACAUAAGGAUAUAGUAGGGAAUUAAAUGACAGUGCGGCAGUCUGAAGUGCAUGGGAACAUUGAUUUCAACAGGCCUGUUUUGAUCACGAAGGCUUUUGAGGGAUUAGGGGUUUCACUUUUUGUCCCUUUUGAUUGUUCAUACCAACUUGCAUGAUACAACAUCUUGGGUCCUCUGCUCAAAACCAAGGGCAAGUUUCACUCUCACUGCCAAUUUGGGACCAGGCCGUUUCGUUUUUCAGUCACAUUGCUCAAGGUUAGGAUUUGGGGAUGGAAUAGGCUGUGCAUACGUCAAUGGAGCCGUGCGGAUGAACUUAUGACCUCCUCCUAAUCCUGCGACGUGUCCUUCAUAAGACUAGGACAGGCCAGACCCCGUGCUGGAGAUGGUGAAAGUUCCAUUUCCAUAUGCAUGAGAUGAGCCGUUGUUAUUUUAAUGAAGGGCAUCCUCCCUCGAGCAAAUAAAAAAGACUGAACUGAUGCUAGACAUGCCUCCGUGAUCAGCUUUAAUGGUCUGUCUUUGUAAAGAGAUGUGGCAGAAAGGAACACAUUAGGGUGAUGCCUGUGUGUGUCUCAGGAAGUCUCAUUUGAAUCAUUGCUGUGAUGAUCCAGGACAAACGAAAAACAAAAUAGAAAACUCCCACACUCAUGAUGUUUCUGCAAAUUUCCAUUUGAGAAAUGAACCUGGAGCAUUUGUCACAAACAUCCCGUGUUUAGAGAAAGGUUUGUCUUGUCUAAUGUGCACAGGCAUCCAAUUCUUUUAUAUGCUUUAAAAAAUAAAUAAAAAUAAAAAUAAAAAAAAUAAAUAAAUAUAUAUAUAUAUAUAUUAGUAGAAGAGUGGCAUCCAAAAGCCUUAAGAAGGAGAAAAGAAAAUUAUGGAGAAACCUCUUUGACAUCCUCUAUUUAUACUGGUUUUGAAUAAUG